rnacentral:lncRNA from 1 species
CCCCGGCGCACGCCGACGUCCAAACGCAAUAAAAUAUGGUUGCUAGUCAGCGCCGUGUUUGUGUCCUCUCGUCUUCGUGCUGUUCUAGCGCAGUUUCUUCGUUGAAUAUUCUUCGCGUUAUCGCGAAGGCCUGCUUCCCCCACUGCUGCAGACCUAGUUAACUUUCUCGAUUACCUGGGCAAAUGGGAAGCCUGCAGCCCUGGAAAGACGGGAUUUCUAAGUGACUCCACGGUGACAGGACUGAGAGUCAC